rnacentral:lncRNA from 1 species
GGACACAGAUGAUGCUCCCGCUUGCAUAUCAUAAAAGUUAUAAACGGACAUAACUGAAGAAGAGUAAAAGUGACACUUACCAAUUGUGUACUAACUUUUAUGGUGAUAAGUAUUGUGUAAAAGUUUCAUAACAUUUUGUUGAGGCAAACUAAAGAAAGAAAUACAAAACAAAAAAAUUCAGCAACUUUUUCCUCUAUAAAGAGGCAUUGCAUAGAACAGUGAAAGUGACACCACCAAAAUUCAAAGUUGAUCUGUAUAUGGUGGUUUUAAGCAUUGUGUAUAAUUUUAAUAACAUCUGGUAAAGACAAACUAAAGUUAGAGAACAUAAACGGAAAAUUCAGCAAUUUUUCUAUCUGUAAAGGGGCAUAACUCUUGGACGGUUUAAGUGACACCACCAAAAUUCAAACUAAGUCUGUGUUUUAUGGUAAUAAGCAAUGUGAUUAAGUGUUCAUAACAUUUGGUUGAGGCAAACUAAAGAUAGAGAACAGAAACCAACUUUGGGACGUACUGAAGGACGGACAAGGGUAAACCUUAAUGCCCC